AUAAAGUAUGGAGAAUAUGGUGCAUCCGGGAGGAUUCGAACCUCCGACCGCUCGGUUCGUAGCCGAGUACUCUAUCCAG
rnacentral:tRNA from 1 species